rnacentral:rRNA from 1 species
UACAGAGGUCUCGAGCGUUAGGCGGAAUCACUGGGCUUAAAGCGUGUGUAGGCGGAUCGGUAAGUACCUUGUGAAAUCCCACAGCUUAACUGUGGAACUGCUUGGUAUACUGCCAGUCUUGAGCCACUUAGGGGCUACCGGAACAAAUGGUGGAGCGGUGAAAUGCGUAGAUAUCAUUUGGAACGCCAAUGGUGAAAACAGGUAGCUGGGAGUGUGCUGACGCUGAGGAGCGAAAGCAUGGGGAGCGAACAGG